rnacentral:lncRNA from 1 species
GUAUGAAAUAAUAAAUUUUCUAAUCUAACAUAAAUUUAAUAAAUAUUAAUUUCUGAAAAAUAAGUUUUAUAUCAACUCACCAAGUAAUAGUUGAUCAUUGUUUCGAUCUUCUCGUUGCCUCCUCACUUUCAAUACCAAGAAUGUUAUUACGCUCUUGCUACAAUAAAUCAUAUCCCUUCAUAAAUGAGCCUUGAGUAUUUUCCUACCAUUAGAAAUAUUAAUUUACCAAUGGGAACUUGAUAUAUUUUAUUUUCAACUUCAUAAUCCCAAUUAAGGUCACUAACAACAUACACUCCUUCAUAUAAAUUAUUUUAUCACCAAAACCCCAAAUAUUCAACACUUAAUUUGGUUCCAAUAUUAAAAAUCCAACAAAAUUAGAUGAUUGACAAUACUAGCACUAUAAUUCUAGAAUAUUGAAAACUAGCAUCAAUAUCUGUAUACUAAAAUUUAUCACCGAAAUCAUGGACAGAAAUAGAGCUUAUCUGGGCAGAUUUUCAAAAAUAGCACCUAUACUACAAUAGCUCGAAAAUGGUUGAAAAAUUAGAGAAUUUCAACCUCAAAUCCUUAAUUUAAGUCUUUAGCAUCCUAUAAUCACAAGAAUUUCAAAGAAUAAACCUUUAUCUCACAAACUCAUUUCCAAAAUUUCCACCUUCUACAACAUCAAUAUCCAAAUAAACAUUUAUUUGCUAUAACCUU